rnacentral:lncRNA from 1 species
UAAGGCAAAAUAAUAAAAAAAUGAGCCAUCUAUCUAUUAGUAUUAAUUAUAAAGACAUAAAGUGAUACGUAUAUAUACUCAUUUAAAAGAACUAAUUAAUUAUGAAAAAUCACCAUUAUAUUUAAUAUAUCGGACCGGAUUUGAGAUCCCUUGUUUAUAAAUUUUAUGACUUUUCUUAAAACUAAUAAACAUAUGAACAUGUAUAUUAAUUUAGACCCCAAAUGUUUUGGGUCUACCCCAUAUAUGAUGAUAUAUAUCUAGCAUACAUUAGUGUUCAAUGUAAUAAAAGAAAGUAUAUAUGAUCAAAAUGUCAUACCAUAAUUUGACAUUUACCUUGGUAGCAAAACUUUUGUUUCUUUUAAGAUAGAACAAUAUUAUUUUAGUUUUGGAUGUUUGAAACUUCAAACGUUUACCUCAAAAAAGGAAAAAGAAAAAGAAAAGAAAUACACAAAACAAACAAACUUGAAGUUGUUUUGCAUGAUUGUCUGUGAAGAAGAUUCUGUCACUCAAAUUUAUUGGAUGCUUGCUUCACUCCUUCUGAACUAUAUACAGAGAUUAAUUUGUUGGAAAGUUUGAUUGAACUUAUAAAACAAAUUACAAAAAUGAUAGAGACGUGUAUAUCAGGUGUAGACGUUGUAAAUAAUUGGAACUAAUAGAUAUAUUAAUGUUUCUGAUCACUCUAUUUUUAAAAAACGGUAUAUAUAUUGGGGUACGAGUACCUUGGUUGCAAUCUUUUGAAAAAAUCAUAUAUAGUAUCUUAUCUUUAUAACUAGUCAUUCUAUGAAGCAUCUUUCAAUCAAACAUGAGGCCAAAUUUAAACGCACACACACACAUAUAUUGAUUUUCCCCAGAUACACCAUGCAUAAACCUUUUCUGCAAAAGGUUAGGGAUCAGAUCUAUUAAAGAAAAUAAAAUUAUGACAUUCUUCCAAAACCCAAAAAUGGGGGGUUUGGUUUCGAUGGAGAGAGAUGCCGAUGUCGAUGUUCCCAUAUCAUACAUAUAUAUGCAUAUACAUGAAUCAUGAUAUUAGUAUUAAGUGUUUUAGUUGAUUAAUAAUUUUCUAUAAGGGCAGUCGAGUGUGAGACUACUAGAAACACGUCUAAAUUUUCUUAUGUUUAUAAAUGUUGGGUGUAUAUUGAAUUGUAUAUCAAUACUUUCCUUUCGAAAGUCGAGGAAAAAGAGUAACGUUACGAGUUCCGAGCAUAUAACUCAUACAUAUAAUACCUUUAAUGAACUUCACAAUUCAAUAUAAAAAUAAAGCUUCUCUGGCAAUUAAACAUUAAUUCAUAAAAAAAUUAAUGAAAAUANAUAACUCAUACAUAUAAUACCUUUAAUGAACUUCACAAUUCAAUAUAAAAAUAAAGCUUCUCUGGCAAUUAAACAUUAAUUCACAAAAAAAUUAAUGAAAAUAAAUUGUACUCCCUCCGUCCCACGAAUCUUGACACGUUUUCCUUUUUGGGCCGUCCCAUGAAUCUUGACACGUUUCCUUUUUUGGUAAUAAUUAUUACCUUCUCUCUCCUACUUUAUCACCUUUAUUAUAUUCUCUCUCCUACUUUAUCACUUUUAUUACCUUUUCUCUCCUACUUUAUCAAUUUUAUACUUUAUUAAUUACACACUUAAAACACUAAUCUAUAACUCCUUAAUUCCCGUGCCGAACCCAAACGUGUCAAGACUCGCGGGACGGAGGGAGUAACAGAUUAAAAUUUAGUUUAUUUUAUUUCAAAUUUCAAAAGUUGUAUCCAAAAUAAAAAAUUUAUUUUUAUUUUUCAGUGAAUUAAUAUUUCAUUGUAAGGGAAAGCUUUAUUUUCAUAUUUGAUUACGAAAUUUUAAGUUUAGGGAAAUUUUAAGUUGUGGAAAAAUCAAAAAAUAAGACUUUGUGUAUUUUAUUUCAAAUUUCAAAGAU